GGUUUUCGUCCUUUCUUUCAUGCAUUCCUCCUCUUUUCGCCGUUAGGGUUAUGUUAGACGGUGUUUCUUUGUUUUGUUUUACCGGCUGUCUUCAUCUAUAAAAGGCAGGCCAUUGUUUGUACUUUUCAUCUUUUUGAUGAAUGAGAUAUUCGGUAGAGAACACUCUCGCCGUUCAUCAGCUCACCAUAAACCCUAGGUUAGGUCGUUACCUACUUGGGUUCCCCCAAACCAGUGAGAAACCAGAGCUAACCGAUCAUCGUCUUCAUUCCGCUGCGUUUCCCUCGCUCUCUGCGAGAUUCAAUCAGUAGAACACCGAUUGGGAGAGGUUUUCCGGCGAUUACCGCGACGGAGGAGCCUCAUCAAUAGGUAAUUAUUUCAUCGCUCUUUCUCUUACUCAUUUUUUACACCGCUUACGUGUCACCAAUAAUUAAUGUUUUUGUAUUUUUUUUUCAACGACACACGUGUGGCAUUAAUUGGUGGGAAAUUUGGAGACAAAGGGACUAGUAGUUCAGUAGUUCACUUUGUCACUCCACUUUCUCACAAACCACCAAAACUUCAAACUUUCGCUCCUACUUCUACUUCGAACACCAAAGUGGUUCAUCUUGGGGUUUCGUGAAGGGUUUGCCUGGGAUAACUUUCAUCUUCGUUGGACAGAAACCCAUUUCAGGUUUCCUUCGAAGGUUCGUGAAAAGAAGGGUUUUUGUGCCUUGUUUGUUUGCUAUUUAUUGGAUUCAUUGGGUCAUGUUCGAGUGAGAUGCAUCCUUUGUGCAUUGUGCUCUUUGUGCCAUCGAAGAUGAUUUAGUCAAAUCCACCGGCAAGUCAAUCAUUUAGUCUCAUCCUUCUGUUGAUCCAAAAAUUCAAAAGAUACUAAAGAAACUGAUAAGGCCAACAUUGAAGCCCUUUGCAUCUCAAACUAAACACGACCAAACUUCGACCAAUGUUGUUGGAUCCAUUGGUGACCAUAAUAUAUGAAUCUUAAUGUCGAAACAGUUAACUAAUUUGUAGUUUCGAAACUAUUAUUAUGUUAUUUCUUUUCUUAUUUGGUUAUCAUAGUUGUUAUGUUAUUUAUGAUGCACUUAGUUUGUAACAAUGUCUAUUUCAACAUUCCCAUGUACUUAACAUGGCUUCUUGUGUAACUGAUGUGAAACACACAUUUUUCAAUGUAUGGUUAACUUUCGCUGCCUUAAAAUGAA